GACGAACCGUGCGAACGUUAUUCGGAAUCACUGGGCUUAAAGGGCGCGUAGGCGGAUUUGCAAGUCUGUGGUGAAAUCCUCCAGCUUAACUGGAGAAGUGCCAUGGAUACUGCGAGUCUCGAGGAAGGUAGGGGCAUCUGGAACUGCCGGUGGAGCGGUGAAAUGCGUUGAUAUCGGCAGGAACUCCGGUGGCGAAGGCGGCAUACUGGACCACCACUGACGCUGAUGCGCGAAAGCCAGGGGAGCAAACGGG
rnacentral:rRNA from 1 species